GACNNGAGCUUGCUCCCUUAGGUCAGCGGCGGACGGGUGAGUAACACGUGGGUAACCUGCCUGUAAGACUGGGAUAACUCCGGGAAACCGGGGCUAAUACCGGAUGCUUGAUUGAACCGCAUGGUUCAAUCAUAAAAGGUGGCUUUUAGCUACCACUUGCAGAUGGACCCGCGGCGCAUUAGCUAGUUGGUGAGGUAACGGCUCACCAAGGCGACGAUGCGUAGCCGACCUGAGAGGGUGAUCGGCCACACUGGGACUGAGACACGGCCCAGACUCCUACGGGAGGCAGCAGUAGGGAAUCUUCCGCAAUGGACGAAAGUCUGACGGAGCAACGCCGCGUGAGUGAUGAAGGUUUUCGGAUCGUAAAACUCUGUUGUUAGGGAAGAACAAGUACCGUUCGAAUAGGGCGGCACCUUGACGGUACCUAACCAGAAAGCCACGGCUAACUACGUGCCAGCNGCCGCGGUAAUACGUAGGUGGCAAGCGUUGUCCGGAAUUAUU
rnacentral:rRNA from 1 species